rnacentral:lncRNA from 1 species
UCUGCACACAACAAGCGCUCAAUAAAGACGAUUGAAUGAAUGAAUGAAUGAAAGGCCGCGGGCUGGGGGUGGGUGGGGUGGCGAUGGGGCGCGUUCGUGACGCCAGGGGGCGCCCUCGACUCGAAGCGCAAACGGGGCCCCCGGCGCAGCCCCGCGGCUGAGCGUUGUAGCAAGCGAGGUGGGCGGGCAGGCGAGGAGGAGGGGAGGCGGUGCUGCGGCCGGCCGAUGGAGCGGCUCAGCAUGUCGUCCCUAAGGAGGAGGGGCUACCACCGUUCGGGCCGCCGGGGCAGAAAGUCCGGGAGCAAGCCGGCGCCUCAGCCCCGGGAGGAGCUGAAGCCUCCGCGCCCGGUUCCGGCCGGUUGGGGAGCAGCGGUGCUGCUUGGCCCCAGGUCGCGGGAAUCGACGGCAUCUUGGGCCCGGCCCAUGGCCCUGCCCACACCCAGCUCACUGCAGGGCUUUUCUCCGGGCAUCCUCAGGUGACCUUGUGCCUCUGCUAGAUGCACACUAACAACUCCAAGGGCUUACAAGAAAGAGAU